GACGAACGCUGGCGGCGUGCUUAACACAUGCAGGUCGAACGGAAAGGCCUGCUUUCCCUUGUGGAUUGCGGGUGCUCGCGUGGCGAACGGGUGAGUAACACGUGAGUGAUCUGCCCCCAACUUGGGUAUAAGCCUGGGAAACUGGGUCUAAUUCCCGAUAGGACUGCAGGGUGGUGCCUGUGGUGGAAAACGAUUUUCUAGUGGUUGGGGAUGAGCUCGCGGCCUAUCAGCUUGUUGGUGGGGUAAUGGCCUACCAAGGCGGCGACGGGUAGCCGGCCUGAGAGGGUGGACGGCCACAUUGGGACUGAGAUACGGCCCAGACUCCUACGGGAGGCAGCAGUGGGGAAUAUGACACAAUGGGCGGAAGCCUGAUGCAGCGACGCCGCGUGGGGGAUGACGGCCUUCGGGUUGUAAACUCCUUUCGACCGCGAGGAAGCCACCUGGUUGGAAGGGUGGUGACGGUAGUGGUAGAAGAAGCACCGGCUAACUACGUG
rnacentral:rRNA from 1 species